AACGAACGCUGGCGGCAUGCCUAACACAUGCAAGUCGAACGAGAUCUUCGGGUCUAGUGGCGCACGGGUGCGUAACGCGUGGGAAUCUGCCCUUUGGUUCGGAAUAACAGUUGGAAACGACUGCUAAUACCGGAUGAUGACGAAAGUCCAAAGAUUUAUCGCCAGAGGAUGAGCCCGCGUAGGAUUAGCUAGUUGGUGUGGUAAAGGCGCACCAAGGCGACGAUCCUUAGCUGGUCUGAGAGGAUGAUCAGCCACACUGGGACUGAGACACGGCCCAGACUCCCACGGGAGGCAGCAGUGGGGAAUAUUGGACAAUGGGCGAAAGCCUGACCCAGCAAUGCCGCGUGAGUGAUGAAGGCCUUAGGGUUGUAAAGCUCUUUUACCCGGGAUGAUAAUGACAGUACCGGGAGAAUAAGCUCCGGCUAACUCCGUGCCAGCCGCCGCUGUAA
rnacentral:rRNA from 1 species